rnacentral:tRNA from 1 species
ACUUUUAAAGGAAAGUAGUCAUCCAGUGGUCUUAGGAACCAAACCUCUUGGUGCAAAUCCAAGUAAAAGUAAUG